UUCCGUUAGUUAAAACCAAUAGAUCUGAGGUGUCACAUUGUUACUGUGACUAAAGGCUUGAUCCUAACUAAU
rnacentral:tRNA from 1 species